rnacentral:pre_miRNA from 3 species
UUUUACGGAUGAAUGAAGAAAGUAGUUUCUUGAGAUGAAAUCUACUCCCAGUGAAGAUGCUGUGAA